AAAUAUCGGAACUCUCCAUUUUGAAGGUCACAACGAUGGCUUUUCGGCGAGCGUUGAAAAGGUUAUUACAAGAGAUCCCAAACCAGGGAUCACGAUGUUACUCCACAGAAGCCAGGCAGAUGGUGACCAUGAUUCCCGGGGACGGAAUCGGACCAGAAAUCUCCCAGUCUGUGAAGGAUAUCUUUAGUGCUGCAGGGGCCCCUGUUGAUUGGGAAGAUGUGGAUGUCACUCCUGUCAAAGGCCCCGAUGGGAAUUUCCGACUCCCUCCCAAGAUCUUCGAUUCCAUGGACAGAACAAAAGUUGGACUCAAAGGUCCCUUAGCCACACCAAUAGGAAAGGGACAUCAGUCCCUGAAUCUGGCCCUCAGAAAGGCCUUUAACCUGUAUGCCAAUGUCCGCCCCUGUAAGUCCAUAGAGGGAUACAAGACCCCGUACAAUGACGUAGACCUGGUCACCAUCAGAGAAAACACGGAAGGAGAGUACAGCGGUAUAGAACAUGUGAUAGUAGAUGGUGUGGUACAGAGCAUUAAGAAGAUUACAGAGGAGGCGUCGAUGAGAGUGGCCGAGUACGCGUUCGCGUAUGCUCGAGACAACAACCGAGAUACAGUCACGGCCGUCCACAAAGCCAACAUUAUGAAGAUGACAGACGGUUUAUUCCUGAAAUGCUGUAGACAUGUAGCUGAGCAAAACAAAGACAUCAAGUUUAAGGAGAUGUACCUAGACACUGUCUGUCUAAAUAUGGUCCAAGACCCGACUCAGUUUGAUGUUCUGGUGAUGCCCAAUCUGUAUGGAGACAUUUUAAGUGAUCUGUGUGCCGGACUGAUUGGCGGCCUUGGGGUGACACCUAGUGGUAACAUUGGCCAGGACGGGGCUAUUUUUGAAUCGGUACACGGAACUGCCCCAGACAUUGCGGGGGAGGACAAAGCUAAUCCCACAGCCCUGCUGCUCAGUGCGGUCAUGAUGCUCCGCUACAUGGGGCUCAGUCCCUACGCCCAGCGCAUUGAGAUGGCCUGCUUUGAUGUGAUUCGAGAAGGAAGGGUGGGUAUCAGUGAAAAACACAAAAAAAUGCCUCAUCAUUUUCACUUGAAUUUUAUUCUACUCCUAUACUUUGUUUUACCUUUUACGUAUUAAGGUUGGAAUGUCCCUCUGAUUAGAGAGAUGACUUCUGUAGAAAAUUUCUCACUUUGUUUCUGUUAACUCACAAUUAUUAAGGUAUGAAGGAGACUGUGAUGGACGCUAUUUAAUGCUUGAAGGCAACAUUUAUUUAAAUUCAAAUAUUGAAAGAGGAAAAUUGACAAAAUUAUUUUUUUUCAAAUAAAACUAAAUUGUAUGUACUAGUACAGUACAUAAACAAUACAUAUUGAUUACGCCAGAGAAUCUUUAGAUGGAUAGUCUUUAUUACUCUCUUAAUAGUUCGUUCACAAAGUUAAAUGAAUUUUGAUUGGGAAAAACAUGACUAAGACAAUUGCAUAUUUUAGACUUAGUUAAGACAUCAUCAUUUGAAACUUACAACAUUUCAAAUGUCUAAAAUUGAAUAAAGGUUUUCUAUCCUGAGAGAACAGAUAUGGGAAAACAAAAUUACAAAAAGAACAAUAUCACUCUUUUAUCAGGAUAAUAUAUCUCUUUAUUGAGAUUAUACCAAUUACUGGAAGGUCAUUCAUUUGAUUCAUUUUUGUGUUAUUACAAAAUGCUCUGGUUUACAUAUUUAGCUUUUUAAAAACAUAUGGAUCCAAUUUAUUAUUAUCUUAUCCAAAUUUAAAAACAGAAAACCUUUUCUGAAUUUUAGAUACCAUGGCAAUUUAUCAUGAUGUGUAUGUAAAACCUUCAAUAGUUUAUGAUAAAGAAAGAUAACAUUUGUUGAUUGAAGCAGUUUUUGUUUUAAUCCUAUACUACAAAGUGCUAUUCUGAACUAAAAAGCAGCACUUCAUUAUGAUUUGUAACAUGAAUUUUUAAUCACCAUGUUUAAUUUUUUUCAUAUCAUGAUUACACACAUCAAUUUUGUUUCAUUUGAUUCUCUUGAUAUUGGCUUUGAUGAAAACCAACAGGAAAUUUUUUUAAAAAUAUAUGGUGAAAUUAAUAGCAGAGGGAUAUUACACCUUAAGUUUUUUGAAAACUCUUAAUUUGUAUGUGUUUUUAUGAUAAUUGUUCAUUGCUUUAGCUUUUAGUGUUGUUUACUUACAGGUGCUAACUGGUGACUUAGGAGGCUCGUCUAAGUGUUCAGAAUUCACUGAAGAAAUCUGUAGAAAAGUGCGCGAGUCGGAGUAAGCCAAGGACAGAGAAAUAGGAUUUAUUAAAUUAUUCAAAUUGUAUUACAUACCAGUUAGAAACAUUGUUUGUAAGAGGAUUGUUAAGAAGUCGGGUAAACUUUUUUAUCUGUCAGUAAAUUUUGUGAUUGUACAAGAAAUAUCAGAGACAUGGACUUUUUUAAUUGGUUGUUUUAUUUUGAGUUCAGUAGUGUUAUGUAUUGUAACCUUUCUCACACCAUCUGUAGCGUAAAACAAGUCCCAUAUAUUAAGCUCUUUUAGAGAUUUUAUGAUUAGGUUUUGUUUCAUGUUUACAUGUUCCUGAGCUCACUUAGUUUUGUUUGUUAUGAUGUGUACAAAUUAAUUUCCCUUUAAUAGAAUAUUAAAAUUUAAAUUUGAUAUGUGAAUUAAUUUUUAAACAUAUUAUGUAAAUGGACACUUUUGGUGACUUUGAUUUCCAAGAAACUAUAUUUUAUGAUAUCAAACUAGCCAAAAGUAAAACUGUUUAGAGCAAUUGGUGUUAUAAUGUGUCAUACAGUUGCUAUGUUUCUGCUGAAUGGUAGGAAUUUUUGAAGGAUUCUACAUGUAUGUUUUUCCAUAUGGAACUACUGUAUAAUAUGCACAGUCUCUUAACCUUCAUUUUUAUCACACCCGUAUAGACAGAUUUUUUUGACAGCUAACCACUGUGAAUCUCAGAGAAAGAUUUUUAGUUUGCUUCUGAAAGUUGGUCCACCAUUGAUUGACCCAGUAGCUCAGUCCUGCUUUAUUAUAUUUUGCAAUAUGUUAUUAUGACAGAGAUGUUGCAAUGUUCUGUUGUGUAAUCUGCUAAUAAGAGAGUAAUACUCAGUAAGACUGACUAACAAUGUUAAAUGAACAAUGUAAAGAGAUCUGUGUGGACCAGAAUAUUGAAUUUGACUGUAGAAACUGUUAUGACUUGUUUGUUGUAAUAUUUUGAUUUUUGUUUUGUAUGUACAUGUCCUGUGGAUAUAAAGAGGAGAUGUCAGAAAU
rnacentral:misc_RNA from 1 species